rnacentral:lncRNA from 1 species
CCCUUAAGGUAAUUCUGUAUGGAGAAAUCGGUGUUUGGGAGAGUAUCACCCCUUUUGGGCCGUUUAAAAAACUCGCCCAUACCUUUUUAUUGGGUAAUUAUGAGUGGAGCUAGUAGCCACCUGAGCUGAAUAACCUGGGGCAAGUGGCUCAGUAACCAUUUGUUUCACGUUCACUUUAUCGGUUUCAGGCAAGAUAUAGUAGGAAGUGUAAAAAAUAAAUAAUAAACCCCCA